GAUGAACGCUGGCGGCGUGCCUAAUACAUGCAAGUAGAACGCUGAAGGAAGGAGCUUGCUCUUUCCGGAUGAGUUGCGAACGGGUGAGUAACGCGUAGGUAACCUGCCUGGUAGCGGGGGAUAACUAUUGGAAACGAUAGCUAAUACCGCAUAACAGUAGAUGUUGCAUGAUAUCUACUUAAAAGGUGCAAUUGCACCACUACCAGAUGGACCUGCGUUGUAUUAGCUAGUUGGUGAGGUAACGGCUCACCAAGGCGACGAUACAUAGCCGACCUGAGAGGGUGAUCGGCCACACUGGGACUGAGACACGGCCCAGACUCCUACGGGAGGCAGCAGUAGGGAAUCUUCGGCAAUGGACGGAAGUCUGACCGAGCAACGCCGCGUGAGUGAAGAAGGUUUUCGGAUCGUAAAGCUCUGUUGUAAGAGAAGAACGAGUGUGAGAGUGGAAAGUUCACACUGUGACGGUAGCUGACCAGAAAGGGACGGCUAACUACGUG
rnacentral:rRNA from 1 species